rnacentral:rRNA from 1 species
CUAGCCGUAAACGAUGGGUACUAGGUGUAGGAGGUUUCGAUACCUUCUGUGCCGCAGUUAACGCAAUAAGUACCCCGCCUGGGGAGUACGUGCGCAAGCAUGAAACUCAAAGGAAUUGACGGGGGCCCGCACAAGCGGUGGAGCAUGUGGUUUAAUUCGAAGCAACGCGAAGAACCUUACCAGGUCUUGACAUCCCUUGAUAAUCUCAGAGAUGAGACAUCUCUUCGGAGCAAGGAGACAGGUGG